rnacentral:rRNA from 1 species
CCCUAUGGGGUGCAUCAGCAGGUGGUUGGUUUUAUCGUACUCCAACCCAAUAACCUGCGAAACUCUAGCGCUAUCAGGAACAGCUGAAACCCCGGCAUUUCCGAUUAGCGGGUUAAUUUUUUGCCCCUCCUUCAGGAAAAGGUUGAUAAUUUUAACAAACAUUACCCCACCAAAAGUAGCCACUAUAAACGAAAUAGCUCCAAGCACAAAAAUUUCGAACGAUUUAGCUGUUAGAAAAGUAGUUGCCUGGGUAGAAGCUCCUACUGUUAGCCCAAUUAAGAUGGUAACAAUAUCAAUAAGGGGUCCUCUGGCCGUUUCGGCAAGCCUUUUGGUUACUGUGCUUUCCUUAAGCAGGUUCCCAAAGAAGAGCAUUCCCAAAAGCGGCAGCCCCGAAGGAACUAUGAAGGCAGUGAGAAGAAUUCCCACAAUUGGGAACAAGAUUUUCUCAAGCUUGGUAAC